rnacentral:rRNA from 1 species
ACUCCUGCGGGAGGCAGCAGUGGGGAAUUUUGGACAAUGGGCGAAAGCCUGAUCCAGCCAUGCCGCGUGCAGGAUAAAGGCCUUCGGGUUGUAAACUGCUUUUGUACGGAACGAAACGGCCUUUUCUAAUAAAGAGGGCUAAUGACGGUACCGUAAGAAUAAGCACCGGCUAACUACGUGCCAGCAGCCGCGGUAAUACGUAGGGUGCAAGCGUUAAUCGGAAUUACUGGGCGUAAAGCGUGCGCAGGCGGUUAUGUAAGACAGUUGUGAAAUCCCCGGGCUCAACCUGGGAACUGCAUCUGUGACUGCAUAGCUAGAGUACGGUAGAGGGGGAUGGAAUUCCGCGUGUAGCAGUGAAAUGCGUAGAUAUGCGGAGGAACACCGAUGGCGAAGGCAAUCCCCUGGACCUGUACUGACGCUCAUGCACGAAAGCGUGGGGAGCAAACAGGAUUAGAUACCCCUGUAGUCCCA